rnacentral:rRNA from 1 species
CCUACGGGGGGCGGCAGUGAGGGAUUUUGCGCAAUGGGGGAAACCCUGACGCAGCAACGCCGCGUGAGUGAAGAAGGUCUUUGGGUCGUAAAGCUCUGUCAACAGGGAAGAAGUUAUUGAGUAUAAAUAGUACUUAGUAUUGACGGUACCUGUGAAGGAAGCACCGGCUAACUCCGUGCCAGCAGCCGCGGUAACACGGGGGGUGCAAGCGUUAUUCGGAAUUAUUGGGCGUAAAGGGCGCGUAGGCGGUUAUGUCAGUCAGAUGUGAAAGCCCGGGGCUCAACCCCGGAAGAGCAUUUGAAACAGCAUAACUUGAGUACGGGAGAGGAAAGCGGAAUUCCUGGUGUAGAGGUGAAAUUCGUAGAUAUCAGGAGGAACACCGAUGGCGAAGGCAGCUUUCUGGACCGAUACUGACGCUGAGGCGCGAAGGCGUGGGUAGCGAACAGGAUUAGAUACCCUGGUAGUCCACGCAGUAAACGAUGUUCACUAGGUGCUGGGGAUAUUAAAAUUUUCAGUGCCGGAGCUAACGCAUUAAGUGAACCGCCUGGGGAGUACGGUCGCAAGACUAAAACUCAAAGGAAUUGACGG